rnacentral:rRNA from 1 species
AUACGGAGGGUGCAAGCGUUACUCGGAAUCACUGGGCGUAAAGCGCGCGCAGGCGGCUUGAUAAGCUGGAUGUGAAAGCCUACGGCUCAACCGUAGAACUGCAUCCAAAACUGUCAGGCUAGAGUGUGGGAGAGGAAGAUGGAAUUAGUUGUGUAGGGGUAAAAUCCGUAGAGAUAACUAGGAAUACCAAAAGCGAAGGCAAUCUUCUGGAACACUACUGACGCUGAGGCGCGAAGGCGUGGGGAGCAAACAGGAUUAGAAACCCCGGUAGUCC